AGAGACUUAGGAUAGUUCCAAACCAAGAGCCUUCAAAGCCCUAAACAGGGGUUAUAACCCCCUAGCCUCUG
rnacentral:tRNA from 1 species